rnacentral:rRNA from 1 species
AUUGAACGCUGGCGGCAUGCCUUACACAUGCACGUCGAACGGCAGCACGGGGCAACCUGGUGGCGAGUGGCGAACGGGUGAGUAAUGCAUCGGAACGUACCUUUCAGUGGGGGAUAACGUAGCGAAAGGUGGCUAAUACCGCAUACGCCCUACGGGGGAAAGGGGGGGAUCGCAAGACCUCUCACUAUUGGAGCGGCCGAUAUCGGAUUAGCUAGUUGGUGGGGUAAAGGCCCACCAAGGCGACGAUCCGUAGCGGGUUUGAGAGGACGACCAACCACACUGGGACUGAGACACGGCCCAGACUCCUACGGGAGGCAGCAGUGGGGAAUUUUGGAGAAUGGGGGCAACGCUGAUCCAGCCAUCCCGCGUGUGCGAUGAAGGCCUUCGGGUUGUAAAGCACUGUUGGCAGAGAAGAAACGACUCAGGAUAAUACCCGGGGUUAAUGACGGUAUCUGCAGAAUAAGCACCGGCUAACUACGUGCCAGCCGCCGCCGUAA